UACGUAGGGUGCAAGCGUUUGUCCGGAAUUAUUGGGCGUAAAGAGCUCGUAGGCGGUUUGUCGCGUCUGCUGUGAAAACUCAGGGCUUAACCCUGAGCCUGCAGUGGGUACGGGCAGACUAGAGUGUGGUAGGGGAGAUCGGAAUUCCUGGUGUAGCGGUGGAAUGCGCAGAUAUCAGGAGGAACACCUGCGGCGAAGGCGGGUAGCUGGGCCGACACUGACGCUGAUGCGCGAAAGCCAGGGGAGCGAACGGG
rnacentral:rRNA from 1 species